UACAGAGGUCUCAAGCGUUGUUCGGAUUCAUUGGGCGUAAAGGGUGUGUAGGUGGCGCGCUAAGUCGGGGUGAAAUCUCGGAGCUUAACUUCGAAACUGCAUUCGAUACUGCCGUGCUUGAGGACUGGAGAGGAGACUGGAAUUUACGGUGUAGCGGUGAAAUGCGUAGAUAUCGUAAGGAAGACCAGUGGCGAAGGCGGGUCUCUGGACAGUUCCUGACGCUGAGGCACGAAGGUCAGGGGAGCAAACGGG
rnacentral:rRNA from 1 species